rnacentral:rRNA from 1 species
AGCAGUAGCCACGGUAAUACGAAGGGUGCAAGCGUUAAUCGGAAUUACUGGGCGUAAAGCGUGCGUAGGCGGUGAGUUAAGUCUGCUGUGAAAUCCCCGGGCUCAACCUGGGAAUGGCAGUGGAUACUGGCUCGCUAGAGUGUGUCAGAGGAUGGUGGAAUUCCCGGUGUAGCGGUGAAAUGCGUAGAGAUCGGGAGGAACAUCAGUGGCGAAGGCGGCCAUCUGGGACAACACUGACGCUGAGGCACGAAAGCGUGGGGAGCAAACAGGAUUAGAUACCCCCGUAGUCCCUGUCUCUUAUAC